rnacentral:rRNA from 1 species
AUGUCAAAAGAGGUGGUGAUCCUCCUACCAGGCACACUGUUGCCUGCAAUGUUGCCGAGAAGAAGGCUUUGGUGUGACUGCUGCAGGUUUGCUUUCUCGGCGAUAUUAUGCAGACAUGUGCUGGGAGUAUUCAUCUUAGCUCACAUCGACAAGCAAUGGACGAAGAAGGCAAAUGCAGGGCCAGUGUUUGUUAGACACAUCCUUGAAGAUGAAAACCGGCACGCAGAUUCUGUGACUUGGAGGUCCAAUGAUCUCGUUGGUGGUGACCCGGUGAGGCGUGGAGAGAAGGGAGCUCUAUCAGCAGGCUCCUUCAAAUUUGCAGAAGAAGCUAGUACCGCACUAAGCCUAUAG